AUCUUGUUUUGUGUUCGGAAAUAAUGGUUAUGGGGGUGUCAUUUGUGGUUUGUUAAUUUCCUCCUCCCUGUGAUGGGUGGUUUAUUUGCCAUGUUCUCUUGAGAGUAUAUUGGGCAUAUAUACAAGUUUGUUUAGGGUUUCCGUUAUAGGGUUCUCUUUGGUUUCGGAGGACCUUGAGUUUCUUUUGUAUGUUAUCUAAACAUUAUUGUUGUUAAUAAGAUAUUUGUUCUUCCUUUGUAUUCCCUUCGUGUGGUCUCUGUAUAUAUACACACAUGCUUUGCAUAUUUAUGAACCGGAUUAUAUGUUGAAUGGUUCUUUGUAAAUUUGUUUUAUGGCACUAUUGAAGAAGCAAAUGAAGUAAUGUAAGAAAAUGCUCAAGGAAUAAUCAUUUCCUUAAUUAAUCAGGACGAUCACUUGGAUCUAUGUACCAUAUAGUGUUGUACAUGCGUGAAAGUGAAGAGUAACAUGGAGGUGGGAGUGAUAAGUGGAGUAACAUGAUGUCAAAAUGCGCAGAGGUGCAAAAGGAGGGAGGCUUGGUUGGUCAAGAUAGGAAUAUCAAACAUAUCUCUUAAUUUAAACUUGUAAUAUUAUAAGUCUAUAUACAUUAUACAGCAACAAAAGUAGUAGCAUAGCUUAAUUUCUAAUUUUGCCUCUCUUUUCUUAUCGUGAGUUUGUUCUAAUAUGUAAAGACAAAUGUUAACACAAAAUGUGGAAGGGUUCUUUGAAUCAAUUAAUUCAAUAAUAUUGUUACAACAUUUACAUUGUCAUCUUGUUGUAUUUACUUGGAUCUCACCUGCUUGCUUCUUUAUACCUACAUUAUUUCAAUUGGACCCAUAAUAUCAAAAGAUGAUGUCCGUUGGGAAAAUGAUGGAUCGUGCUUGCACCACUCAUCUUAUUAUCGAUCGUCCGUUUCUUACAACUCAUGAGCUGAUGCUUCAUAUUAUUACAACCUAAUAAUAUAACAUAUAUUAUUUUCAAUCAACAUCUUUUCAUAUAUAGUUCAAGAGCUUAGGAAGCCGCCAAAUCCGAAUCCUAUUAAGAAUCAGAACUUGACGACGGGUACCCAAUUCCAUGGCGUUUAUUAGCUAUAUUUACCACUUUGAGUCUUGUGAAUCAAGUCAUAGUUCAAGAGCUUAAGAAGCCGCCGACUCCGGAUCCUGUGGAGAAUCAGAACUUGACGACGAAUACCCAGUUCCAUGGCGUUUAUUAGCUAUAUUUACCACUUCAAGUCAAAGUUCAAGAGCUUAGGAAGCCGCCGACUCUGAAUCCUGUGAAGAAUCAGAACUUGACGACGGGUACCCAAUUCCAUGGCGUUUAUUAGGGAACACAACGAAAACAGUUCCGGCUAUUGCACCAAUAACCGGAGGCAACACCUGUAGCAAAACCUUCUCAGUGGACUCGAACCCUGGAUAAUAGCACCUGACAGUGUUGGCGUCCAAAAGUGACACAACUGCAAACACAAUCAAGGAAAAGAAGGCAUGCACAAAGUCCCCAAACCUAAGCUUGUAAGCAGACAAAUCCACAGAGUUUGAACUCGUCGAGGGCCAAAGCCCCUUGCAUGUUGCCACCCCAUAGUGUGUUUGUUCAUCACUGCCUUUGUAACUGUCUGUAAAGGAAGAAAAGCAGCAGGAGAAGCCGCAAACACCGAUGAGAACGGCGCUUAGGUAUUUGUUGACAGCAGUGCAUUUGCCGUUGUUGGUCAAGACAGGGUUGAGGAACUGGAACAAGAAGACCGUGCCUGUCGGGAGGAGCUUGAUGAGGUUGCCUGCGCCUGUUAAUGUUUUGUCUUUGACGCUUUUGUUGGUUGUGGUGGUUGUCUUGGAUUUAUAGGAAGAGCUCGUAGAACCCCCCAUUUUUCGGAAUUAAAGUAUUGUUUUGACGGAGUUUAUAGAAAUGAUAUUUGAGAAUUGUGUUGUAAAUUGUGGUUUAUGCGAGAGAGAAAUUUGGUGUGUAUUUAUAGAGAAAUAUAAGAGAGGCAAUUGGUUGGGAGAUGAAUUGCUUUCACGUUAACUGAAAAUGUGGCGUUAUCUUGUUGAGAUGGAAAUGUUGCUUUUACUCUUAGAAAGGGCGGGCUUAAUUUCUAAUCCAAGUUUUGAGUAUUAAUAUUGUGGAAUUUUUGUACUCUGGAAGGUUAACAAAUCUAAUUAAUGACUUUAGAUGGGCUUAGGAGAUGAGUUGAAAUUAAAUAGAUUCAAAGAUGUAAAUGAUUCACUUCUCAAAAUUGGGCUGCACGUAUUGUAUUGCUCUCAAUAAAUUGAUUUCAAGGCUAAAUAGUGUUUGGUCCAUACAUUCACUCUCUAUUCUCUUCGAUUCAUCUGAUCCCUGUAUUGGAGAUCUCUACCCCAAUAUAUUGUCCUCUCUCUCUCUCUUUUGGCCUCUCAAACCAGCAUUUAAUAUGUCAACCAUUUGCACUAGCUUACUGACACAUUUCCACCUAUUCGGCUAGACCCUCGUCAGUGAAGUGAUGUUUUAGCAGUCGGCGUGGCGCUCCUUUUAAGAUUCAAGCAGCCCGAUUUUCCCGCUCGGACCUUGGUUACUCUGCCCCGCCUUCCCAAGCACUCUCCCGAUAGCCUUUAUGUCCCAUCCUAGGCCUCUGCUAUCAAUUGCAAGUGGCCAUAUGGUCUGAGUAGCACCUGAAUGGUUUUACCUUUGGAGACUUGUGUCAUAUAGCUGUGCUCGCUCACAUGUUCCACGCAGUCGGGUAGUCCUUCUUUUGUCUCAGUCGGCCUGAGCACUCGGGAAGGCCUCUUCUGACCAUUUAGGUCUUGGGCUUCUUGGUCUUUCCUUAGGCUUAUGUAGUUGGGUGGGCCUAAAUGGACCCAAUAUUAACAUGAAUAAAUAAUAAACAAGAUAAAUUAGUGAUUAGAUUGUUGUGCAAUCGUAUAAUAUUUAAAUUAUAUCAAAAUACAGACGAAGUUAGGUCAGUUGGUUAGGACAAUGUGCCCAUCCAUUUUCAUUCAGACUCAAAUUAUUUUCUUGUAAAUGAGCUAUUUGUUGCCCAUCCAUUUUCAUUCAAACUCAAAUUCUUUUCUUGUAAAUGAGCUAUUUGUUGAUUCCCCUUCCCCCCCUGGCGCGUGUGCGAGCGCGCGCACAGAGAAUGUAAUUGGCUAAAAUUAAAGUUUAAGGGGGGGAAGGGAAAGGAAAAAUCGACAAAUACCUCCUUGUAAAUUAUAAUAUUGCAAUUAAGAGUUGUUAUUAACGUCGAUUGUCAAACACAGGACUGAAUAUCAUGCAUGUCCGGCAGUUAAGAGUUGUUAUUAACAUUUAAUGAUAUGUGAGGAUCAAAUGCCUAUUAAUCACAAGAUUAUAUUAUUUUAGGAAAUGGCAAAAGACCAAGUGCAAGUUAAAUUUGGGAUAACUCAAAGUAAAAAAAUUUGGGAUAACUCAUUCUUUAAUGAACAAAUUUCAAAAACCUUAGACAUUUGACUUAAUUCCAAAAUAAAAUAAGUAGAUUUUUGUGGUUCAGGUAACUUAAGCGUCUACAUUUAUUUACGUAUAUUCUUUGAGAUUUAAUUUUCACUUCAUAGAAUUUCUUGUAUUAGAAAAAAAAUUUAGAAACUCUCCAUAAGAUUUUGAGAAGGAGUGAAAGUAUGAUUAGUUGUAUAUUAUUGAUGGUUUUAUACCAUCAACAUUGAACAAUGACGUUGUAAUUUUCAAAACUUGCAUGGAUGUAGUGUUAUUAUUUUCUUGUUUAGUGCACGAAGAGUGCAUCUGAGGAGGGUUUAUUUUAUUUUUUAAGAAAAAACGUUAAAGUUGCAAAUGUACCCGCAAGUCAUGGGAAGAUGAAAAAAAAAAAAGCUUAAGACAUUGACACCAAUACCAGUAAGGGGCCGCUGUAUUUUGUUGGAGCCAGCAAAAUUGAAGCCACUUGAGUCAGUCAUACCAAGAGCCGCCAAUUUUUAUUUUGACUCGAGAGGCUGUUGCACAAUAUAUGUUUGUUCACUAUCAUUUAUUAUGGUAUAUGCUCAUCAUUCUAUUUAUCAUCGUUAGAUGAGUUUGAAUUUUGAAAUUUUAGAUAGGCACAAAUCUUGAAAUUCAAAUUCAUUUAAUAAUGAUAAAUAAGGUGCUAAGCAUACACCACACUAAAGGGCGAUCAACAAAAAUACACUCUAAUAUAUGGGGGUUUGCAGGGUAAAAUAGCACCUUCAAUUCUGCACACACAAUCUUUGAGUGGGGAGGGUGUAAACAAUAAAUCAGUAAUCUAGAAACUAAUUUGCUUAGUCCUUUUAGUCAUAAACGAGGGACGAGGGGCUGCCUACACGGGCAUGAAUCACAUGAUCAGACAUAUCCCGAUUCCCUGGCCACAUGUAUAUCCUGCAUCUUUGUCAUUUAUUAUUUCAUUCCACCGGACGGACUCGAUCAUUCAUUGAUCAAUUAGUUUUAUUAUAUAUAUUAUAAACUGAGAAUAAAAUUCAUAGUUUAAUUUAAUUGUACGCAGACUGUCUUUUUUCAUUAACCUACUAAUCCACUGAUAAUAUUAUCUAAUCACAUAUUUUAUUGCUAAAAACUACUGGUUGGCCACUCCCAACUCCAAGGUCCAAAGUCCAAAGGCCAGCCAAAUGAUUAGCUUUGUAACGGUCCUUAUUCACGUCCUUCUGAAUUCUGACCAGAAACCUUUACAAAAAUGGUCCAUGCCUAAUGCCCUAAACGCACUCACAAGUCACAACAGACAGACAGGCUCACAAAUUUAGUAGGGCGGGGGCGAGAGGGGGGAGAGAGAGAGAGAGAGAGAGAGAGAGAGAGAGAGAGAGAGAGAGAGAGAGAGAGAGAGAGAGAGCGAGAGAGCGAGCGCUUUAGCAAUGGAGCAUCAGAGAUUGUCAAGUGGAAGCAGAUGGAGAGGGAAGCCUAUUCGAUGCAGAGGUUUUCUUUUCUUUUCUUUUUUUUUCUCUUUUUUUGAUUAUCAAUUAUUGAUUAACUUUCUUGCUCUUGCUGCUAAUGAAUGCAUGAUUAAGUUCAAAUGAAUGGUAGUCUGACUCUGACUGAUAUGUGCUGCACUUGAACUUGCAUGUUAAUUAAUAGCUGCGGUGAGUCGGAAGGCAGGAGAGCCGCUAGUUCUAGAAGAUCCUGGUGGCGCCGCCAAUGCCUCAUGAAGUCCGCAUCCGAAUUAUCUGUACCUCUCUCUGCCACAGCGAUAUCACUUUCUGGAAAAUGAAGGUUCUUUCUUUCUUCUUUCCUCCUAAAUGAUCAAUUAACAAGUUGUUGGUGCUUAAUACUUCCAAAACUUUUUGUUUGUUAGGACUUUCCUGCAAUUUUCCCCAGAAUUCUUGGUCAUGAAGCUGUGGGGUGAGCUCCAACGCUUUCUUAUACGUCUUAUUGCCAUUUGCUUUCCAAGACAUGAUAAAGUAGCAAGUUAGGAACUGUCAAAAUUUAAAGGGAAGAAAGAAAGGCCAAGUCUAUCACUUUAUUAAUCUUUACCAUGUCAAAUGAUGUACGUAUACUUUUUUUAAUUUCCUUAUCAGCACAAGUAUAAUUGUUAAGGGAUCGGUCACGAACCACGUCUAACUUUUGCUGCAAAGGGCAGUUAGAAGCUUUGGUUGUCAUAUGUUUCAGACACAUUUGUUUGGUCAUCACUGCUGAUAUACUUGUCCAUCAAUGCUUAUUUGUCAUAGGGUUGUGGAGAGUGUUGGGGAGGAUGUCAAUGAGGUCUCAGAAGGAGAUACAGUCAUCCCAACUUUCAUGCCAGAAUGUGGAGAAUGCGUAGAUUGCAAAUCCACAAAGAGCCACCUAUGUACAAAACUCCCCUUCAAGCUCUCACCUUUUAUGCCAAGACACGAGACUAGCCGAUUCACAGACCUCAAUGGGGAGGUUCUAUACCAUUUUUUGUUCGUGUCUAGUUUUGCAGAGUAUACAGUGGUUGACAUAGCCCAUGUCACAAAAAUUGACCCUGCAAUACCUCCAAAUAGGGCAUGCCUUCUCGGCUGUGGAGUAUCAACAGGUACACUAGAAAUUCCUUAUAAUUCUUAUCCAGAUAGUGUGGUGUUUGCAAAAUCUAGAGUUGUUCUAAAAAAGCCAUUUUUUUGUGUGUACAUGUGUAGUCGCAUCUCACUAAAAAUUUAGAAAACAUCUAUAUCAAUCUUUGACAAAUUUGGCUUUAGGAGUUGGAGCUGCUUGGAAGACAGCAAAUGUGGAGAAGGGAUCAACUGUUGCUAUAUUUGGGCUAGGUUCAAUUGGAUUAGCUGUAUGUUCUUGCAGAACAUAGUCUGCAUAUCUUUUUGAUACUUUUCCUCUUUCUGAUAUGUGAUUGAUUGCAUCACGUCCAUGAUUGAAUUAUCCAGGUCGCGGAGGGAGCAAGACUUUGUGGAGCUACCAGAAUUAUUGGAGUCGAUGUAAAUCCGGACAAAUUUGAAAUUGGUAUUUGUAUCCUAUCAGAAGAACUUGAUCUUACUUUUGUUAGAGAAAAGCUUUGUAUUCAUGUGAAUGUACUUUCUGCAAAGAAUAUAGACCUUAUUGUUCUUUUUCUUAUCACCACAGGGAAGAAGUUGGGCCUCACCGACUUUGUGAAUGCUGCAACUUGUGAGAAUAAAUCUGCGAGCCAGGUUUUCUCUAAAACUAUGCCCGACUAUUCAGAGAUUGUAGUAUUUAAUUUUUCACCUCUGGUUCACUUGGUUAUCCUACUAAGCAUUUCCAGUUCUUUUUUCUCAUGUAAAACAGGUGAUCAUUGAGAUGACUGGCGGGGGUGCAGACUAUUGCUUUGAAUGUGUUGGACUGGCAUCAUUGGUGCAAGAAGCUUAUGCUUGUAGCCGAAAGGUUCUUGCUCGCGCUCUCUCUCUCUCUCUCUCUCUCUCUCUCUCUCUCUCUCUCUCUCUCUCCCCCUUACCGUUCCUAUCUCUCACACACGCACAGACAUUAUUUCUAUCAUGCCUUUUGCUGUCUUUUGUUGAACAUCUUUCAAUUUGCUGAUAUUUAGUUAUCAAAACAAGAAUGUGCAUAAUUCUGAUCAUGUGGGAGCUAGUUAUUUUAGAUUAUAACAUGCAUCAUAUUUUAUGUAAUUCUAUGCCCAGAAGGCUUGUGAACCUCCAUCAGCCAUCAGGAUGAAUUUAGGCGGCUAUAAUUUGUUUUCACUGAACAAUGUAUUAAUAUCAUUCUUUUCAACUGCAGGGUUGGGGAAAAACAAUCGUGUUAGGUGUGGACAAACCAGGGUCAAGGGUGAGCCUUCCCUCUAGUGAUAUCCUUCACAGCGGCAAAACCCUCAUGGGAUCCUUAUUCGGAGGACUCAAACCUAAAUCGGAUAUCCCUGCCCUCAUCAAUCGUUACAUGGACAAGGUGCUUUAGGAGUAAACUGUUUACUUGGAUUGUUUUUCGCUUUACUGUAACUGGAUAUCCUUUAAAUUUUUUGAUUUUCAUGCUAUCAGGAACUACAACUGGAUGAGUUUGUGACAAAUGAGGUGAGGUUUGAAGACAUCAACAAAGCUUUCGAUUUGCUCAUUGAAGGGCAAUGCCUUCGAUGUGUAAUCUAUAUGAGCAAUGAGUAAAUUACUUCUGCGUGUAACAGCCUUUACAUUUAUAUGUACUCUAUGCUAUCAAUAAGCAUGUAAGGUUUCAGAUUCUAAAUGAGUACUUAUUUGCAUCCCUUGCUACCUUGUCUUCUUAUUUUCUUUAAGAGGGAUACACAUGAAAGAAAAAUACUAAAUAAACAUUUAAGACACUGCAAAACCACUAGAUGCGCCAGUGAAGCAGGUGUUGGGGGAAUCCUUGGUUUCCUUUGCUGAACCAAAAUGCCUUAGCCUGUGAACCCCCGAAUUUGCAUCCCUCGGUAUUUCCCCUUCUAUGGUUGCUGUGCCAUAUAAGCUACCGGUAUCUACAUUCCACUUGAAAAACAGGGAGAAAUCAUCAUCGUCGUAAACAGGAACCCAGUGUUUUCCUUGAAGCAUCUCUACCACUGCAUAUGUCCCUUCCGUCAAUAAGUCAUAUCUUGGGUUAGCACUCCAAACCGUGGCAGUUGGUCGAUCUCCCUUUUUGAAUGAUCCACUUUUGGGUAAGUUGAUAUCCUCUUUAAUAACCCCGAAAGUUUGUAUCUGGGGGAGGUGAGUCUCCAGAACAACCAACUAAGAGCCUGAGUUGUACAGAGGAAAGAUGUGGUGGUAAGGGACCUUAAGGAAGGCCUUUGUCUCCCUUUGCCAUCGCUUUGGCUAAUUUCUCGAAUUCUUGAAUGUAAGAUGAUAAUGUGUGAGGACCAUAGAGAGUGGAAGCUAGAUUUAGGUAAGUCUCAUGCCAAACGUGUUAAAGAAUAAAUUUCGCUUAUGGGUUGAGUAUGUACCUCAUAUCUUUGUUGUGUGUGUUAGGAAGACCUGCUAUUACAAUGUGAGUACCCUCGUCAAAUUCACCAUUGCUGUUACUUAUAAGGGUCUCCUUGACUGCUUCCCUUAGCCGCCAACUGGCCAUUGUGGUGAAUUCUGCAAGAAUCGGUAGCUUAGAGAUUGUUAAAUCCAUUCGUACUGGUGUCAAGAGCAGGCCUUAUGGUGAGUGCUCAUGGUGGCUGUUUGUCUCAUAGUAUAUGUCACUUGUGAGGGGUUUUAGUUUUUAGAUUGAUUUACGCAGUAAGGUGUAAACGAAUCUCAGUGAUGUUGGAAUGGGACUGCCUUUGUGUUUUGGUAAAGAAUUUGUCAGUGCGCAUGCGAUGGACAUAGGUAUGAGUUGUGAAUUGUAAAAGAGGACUAAUCUCCAGGGACAGAAAGUAUGAUCAGCUUCCCAACCUGAGCAUUUGAAUAGGAACGGUUGCAGGCUGCAUUUGAUCCCUAAGGUUACAAUAGUUAAAAGAGAAUUUUCUCUCAACUCAGUAAUUCUAAAUAUAUGUACGAAAUGGAGUUCAACUCUCCUAGGGUCCUCAUUUGAGGAUUGUGAGUAGGGAUGGGCAAAUACCCAUUGGUUAUGGGUAAUCGUGGUUACCCGCCUAUUUAGAUUAAACGGUUACGGUUAUGGAUAACCGUUUAGAUAAAUAAACGGUUAUGGGUAUAACCAUUUACCCGUGAAAUUUAAAUAGGCGGUUAUGGGUAUUAACCGUGGUUAUAAACGGCUAACUGUUUACCCAUUUAUUUUAUAUAUGUAAAACUAACACAAAUCAUGUUCUCGAUCCAAUAAUACUUAGCACCCAAUAAAUUAGCAAGGAAUUCAUCGGUCAUUCUCUCAAUAACACAACUACAGGAAUGAUGAUUCUCAUCAUCAAGGAAUUGGCCAAAUUAAUUUAAAUUCUUUGCGAGUAACCGUGAAAUUGAAAGAAAUGCUUUGACAGAAAUGUCUUCUAAACAAUUUUUGUAACCCAAUAAUACCUAGCAAAUAUUAUAUUUACCUUCAUUGGUAACAGUUAAAAAUAUCGUCCCUAAACUAUUAUUUCAAUUAUUGGAAUGGUAUAAGGACUUAAAAAAAAUUAAAAUAUGGAAAUGUAUGAUGAAUGUACCUAUAACGGUGUUUAAUUGUCCGAAAAAAAAAUUAUGACAUUUUUUUUUAAUUUUCAAGUUGUUAAAAAACAUGUAGACGGGUGAAAAAAGGGUAAUGGUAAAAAAAAAAGAUAAACGAGUUAAAAAGGAUAAAUGGGUAAACGUGUAUUAAACGGUUACGGUUAAAUGGGUAUGCGGUUAUGGGUAUGGUUAACCGUUUAUAAACGGUUAUGGGUAUGUGUAUAACCGUUUAGACAAUUACCCAAUGAGUAAACGGUUAUGGGUAAAUUAACUGCAGUUACCCGACCGCCAUAACUAUUGCCUAUCCCUAAUUGUGAGAAUCAUAUGCUACAAAAUUAUAUUAGUUUAGAUAGUUGACAAAGAACAAAAUAAGUUUUCUAAUGGUUUAUAAAUUUUAGGGAACUUUAACGAAAAGCACACGGUACUGUUCACUUUAACGAAAAACCACAUUUUUACACUAAAAAGUCAAUCUUGAUACUAUUCACUUUACCCUUUAUUUUGUCCUUAUCAUUAAAACUCAAAGUUUUCAAGCCCUUUUCAUUAGUUUUCCUUAAAUUUUAAGGUAGUUUUGCUUUAUUAAAUUGUCAAUAUUUUAAACCUUUAAAUUCAAAAUGUGAGGAAGAAAGUUGAAGUCAACAAGAAAAUUAGCUUUUAAAAUUGAAAAAAAAGAAGGAAGAAUUGCUUUCUUCAAGUCAUUUUAGGAUUUUGCUUGCUAUAAAAAAAACAUAGUCAUUUUAAGUUCUAAAUUCCAACAGAUUAGUACACACCUUUCGUUAAUAGGAACCGGAACUGGAACCUUCCGAAAAUUCCCCAAGUUUGCAAUUAGGGCUUUUGUAUUGUAAUUGAAGACCACCGGAACCGGACUUUCCAACGUUGUUGCUUUGCAUCAGCCAGUUGAGGCUUGCGAUCGCCGUAGGAUUGAACGAUUAUCGGGUAUGUAGAUUUGCUUUUUGAAGAUCAAAUGUUUUUGUUUGUUUGUUUGUUUGUUGGAGUUUGGAAAUUAUAUUCUCAGCAUGACAUAUAGCCCGUGAUAUUCGGCAAUUCGGCAUUUGAAGGGUCCAAUGCAAUUCCCAAAUCAAUUAAAUUUCCAGUCUUAUAGGGUUUGACUGCAAAACCCUAAAUAUUUGUUUGCACGUUCAGAUUCAGCUCUGUCGAGCAAUAGCAUCAUCCGGGAUUCUAUUUCGUAUUGCAAAAUCAGACAAUAUCUGUUGUAUUGCUUGUCGAUUCUGCGAAUUAUGUACUAGGAAGUUUGAUGUUUGAUGUUGAAAGGAAAAAUGAGAUGUAUGAUUCUACAGGCAGAUACUAAGGGUUGGAAACUUGAGGUUACUUUCUAAACCAUUUCGACCAGCAUGGAAGAUCAGCACUCCAACGAAGGCGCCAGUUCUGGCAAUGUUGUUGGGGCCACUUCUGAUUCAAAUCUUGAGAUCAAUAUUAAGACUUUAGACUCACAGAUGUACAGUUUUCAAGUUGAUAAAAAUGUGAGUUCUAGUCUUUGGUCGUCUUGCGUAAUGCUUACUUAUAUGGGUUUUAGUUUUGUUAUUUUUCAUAUCUAAACCGUGAGCAAACUGCUAGGAACUACAUGUUUGUCCCUGCCUUUAUCAAGAUAUGAUCCCUUCAAGAUCUUAUUUAUUUUAUAUACUGAGAUGUUUGUACAUAUACAUUUCUCUUUCAGAUGCGAGUUUCACUGUUCAAGGAAAAAAUAGCUGAUCAAACAGGUGUACCAGUCAGUCAGCAGCGGCUGAUUUUCAGGGGAAGGGUGUUAAAAGAUGACCAUCCUCUUUCUGAGUAUCGUAUCCUACUAUUUCGAACAUGUAUUGUUUACGUUAGAUUUAUAUAGGAAUUCUGGUGCGUGUAGUAUGUUCACCCAGGCAGAAUGCUUGAAAUUUGAGUAACUGAAUUAGAUCUCUACCUGUCAUCUGUCAGCUGGGUUGGUUAGUUUAUUGUGUCGUCACAAUACAUAUACACAAACCUCUUGUAUGACAUUUCAAUUUUUUUAAGCUUUCAAAAUUUUAGGUAUUACAGUAGUUAUUGUUGAUCCCCCACUUAGUUUCUAUUGCUAUCCCUUAACCUCUUGUAGAUUUGGAAAAUGGGCACACAUUGCACUUAGUUAUUAGGCAGCCAUCCCAGCCACAACCUUCAUCGGGUACAAGUUCUGGCGAGGCACAUGUGAAUAGUGGUAAAUAAGUAAUUUGAUUUUAGUAGUGUUGGUACUUCUAUCUCAGGUUCAGAGUAAUUUGUUUUUUGAGCAAUGUUGGUGUAUAAGCUUCUUGAUGUAAUUUGGCAGGAAAUGAUGCUAGUGGUGUUCCUCGUGGUCGCAUUGGCCAGAUAUCUCACAGUGUAGUUCUUGGGACAUUUAAUGUUGGAGAUCAAGGUGAAGGCGCUGUUCCUGAUCUUAGUCGGGUUCGUAUUUGCUUCUUGUUGUGUUAAAGUAAUGGAUUUAUAUAUGUGCGUGUGUGUAUAUAUAUUAUAUAUAUAAAUGGGUGAGGAGCCUUAAAGUUGUACUUCCGGAAGCACAUUAUGCUUUAUUCUUUCUUGGUAGCUUAUUGGCACGGUUCUGAAUUCUAUUGGAAUUGGCACCCAGGCUACAACUAAUGGCACAGGCAACCCACAGUUCACUACUUCGGUGAGCAAUGAAUGUUUCUUGAAAUUACAACCAGAUAUAUUAAUAUCCUAAGUAUUUUUCUCACUUGCAAUUGUGGUCCAGAUAAAAUAAAUUGAAACUGCUGUAAUCUUGUAAAACUAAAGAAAAUGUCAUAAGUGUUCAUGGGCUAACGUUCCUUAGGAAAAAA
rnacentral:lncRNA from 1 species